CCUACGGGGGGCAGCAGUGGGGAAUAUUGGACAAUGGGGGGAACCCUGAUCCAGCCAUGCCGCGUGUGUGAAGAAGGUCCUCGGGUUGUAAAGCACUUUCAGUGAGGAAGAACGCCUGGUGGUUAAUACCCAUCAGGAAAGACAUCACUCACAGAAGAAGCACCGGCUAACUCCGUGCCAGCAGCCGCGGUAAUACGGAGGGUGCGAGCGUUAAUCGGAAUUACUGGGCGUAAAGCGCGCGUAGGUGGCUUGAUAAGCCGGUUGUGAAAGCCCCGGGCUCAACCUGGGAACGGCAUCCGGAACUGUCAAGCUAGAGUGCAGGAGAGGAAGGUAGAAUUCCCGGUGUAGCGGUGAAAUGCGUAGAGAUCGGGAGGAAUACCAGUGGCGAAGGCGGCCUUCUGGACUGACACUGACACUGAGGUGCGAAAGCGUGGGUAGCAAACAGGAUUAGAUACCCCAGUAGUC
rnacentral:rRNA from 1 species